rnacentral:lncRNA from 1 species
AGCCAGGUUUCCAGAAGUUCCCUAGUCAUUGGGCAUUUCUGAGACUCUUGAUGCAUAUGCCAAGUAGUUAUGGAGAAAGACAUAGCCGCUUACCUCUGCAGGCAUCAUUGUGUGAAAGGAAGACCGAGGCUGUCUCACCACCCUUGAAGAGAAGCCUUUUGCUAAGGUGAUAGCUGCAUGUCCAAGCCUAUUGCGUGGCAUGGAUUUUGCCUUCUACAGCCCACUAAAGGAAAUUGAGGUGUACGGAAUGCUUAUUUGGUUGACUCAGUAUCAUCCUAAAUGUAUGAACUAAUGUUUAGGAGUUUGCAGUUCACCCGCAAACCUCAGCGAUCCAAGCUCCCCUGGAUGACCAUCACUCACCUAGAAAAGAACAAUAACAGGACCUGUUUUGCUAAUCCAGGACUGUUCUCCAGCACUAACUCUAAAUAAUCCCUUCUGUUAGAGUCCACUUUCUGGAACCUGUUGCCUCCGUUUUCAACGUUUCCCAAACUUGGUCCGUUGUGUGAGUUGGCUGUUAAAAGUUCCAGGGAGAGGACAUCUUAUUCUUAUUGGAUCACGCACAGUGCCUGAAGCAUUCUGUUGCAUGUAGAAAUCAGUAAAUUGCAGAUGUAAGAUUCAAAACGAGACUUCACAUCUACCGACUUCAGUGAUCCUGAAAUUUGUCCACAGAGAGCAUUUAACAUAACUGUCUUCAUCAUCUCCUUCUCUAAUUAAAAACUAUGGAAAAUACAGGGAGGUGUGGUGUACCCAUUAUCACAAGCAGAUGGAAUCCCUAUAGAGUCAGAUCUCAUCUACAUAUCACCUAUUAUAUGUA